AUCCCUGUGGCUCAGUUGGUAGAGCAUGGUGUGUGCAACGCUAGGGUUGUGGGUUCAAUUCCCACGGGGGGCC
rnacentral:tRNA from 1 species